rnacentral:rRNA from 1 species
GUGAGGAAUAUUGGUCAAUGGCCGGAAGGCUGAACCAGCCAUGCCGCGUGCAGGAAUAAGGCCCUAUGGGUCGUAAACUGCUUUUGUGGUGGAGCAAUAAGACGUACGUGUACGUCGAUGAGAGUACAUCACGAAUAAGCAUCGGCUAACUCCGUGCCAGCAGCCGCGGUAAUACGGAGGAUGCAAGCGUUAUCCGGAUUUAUUGGGUUUAAAGGGUGCGUAGGCUGUUCGUCAAGUCAGAGGUGAAAUACCUGAGCCUAACUCAGGAACUGCCUUUGAUACUGGCGAGCUGGAAUACGGAUGCCGUGGGAGGAAUGAGUAGUGUAGCGGUGAAAUGCAUAGAUAUUACUCAGAACACCGAUUGCGAAGGCAUCUCACGAAUCCGUCAUUGACGCUGAGGCACGAAAGCGUGGGGAUCAAACAGG